rnacentral:rRNA from 1 species
GAUGAACGCUGGCGGCGUGCCUAAUACAUGCAAGUCGAGCGAACAGACGAGGAGCUUGCUCCUCUGACGUUAGCGGCGGACGGGUGAGUAACACGUGGAUAACCUACCUAUAAGACUGGGAUAACUUCGGGAAACCGGAGCUAAUACCGGAUAAUAUAUUGAACCGCAUGGUUCAAUAGUGAAAGACGGUUUUGCUGUCACUUAUAGAUGGAUCCGCGCCGCAUUAGCUAGUUGGUAAGGUAACGGCUUACCAAGGCAACGAUGCGUAGCCGACCUGAGAGGGUGAUCGGCCACACUGGAACUGAGACACGGUCCUGACUCCUACGGGAGGCAGCAGUAGGGAAUCUUCCGCAAUGGGCGAAAGCCUGACGGAGCAACGCCGCGUGAGUGAUGAAGGUCUUCGGAUCGUAAAACUCUGUUAUUAGGGAAGAACAAAUGUGUAAGUACUAUGCACGUCUUGACGGUACCUAAUCAGAAAGCCACGGCUAACUACGUG